rnacentral:lncRNA from 1 species
UGAUCCUCUAGCAUUGCAGCAAUUCUUGAAUUGUCUUGGAUCAGCAAAAAAAAAAAACUCUUUUUUGAAUGCAAUGCUAUUUUUCUUGGUUUCUUGUUUUUCUUUCAUACUUCUACUUUCUAAGUCUUCGAAGAGUACAAUGGGAGCUUUCUCAAAUAUUUGGUUUUGUGAAGAUUUUUUGAAGUUUUUGGCUUCAUGGUUCAGAAAAAUGGGAAUGCUAUUAGUUACUUGAAUUUGCAUGUACUGAAAAAGCAUGUUGAGUCAAACACCAAACCUUAGAAUCAAACCCAAAAAUGUUAUUAGUACCAAAUUUUUGCUCAAACACCAAUCCUUAGAAUCAAACCCAAAAAUGUUAUUAGCACCAAAUUUUUGCUCGAACACCAAACCUUAGAAUCACCAUACACACCAAUAUAAAUCCUCAUACAACAUGGUGUGGAACAUUUAUAUUUCCAACUAAUUCAACAAAAAAAUCUCAAAUAAACAGAGAAAACCCAAAUCUAACAGAAAGUACCCAAAGCAGCAACCUAAACAAAAUUAAAGCCCAAAAACACACAAAAAAUUACAGAUUAUACAAACCCAAAAAUAGGGAAGAUGAAACAUUGUCGGUUUCUGUGCUAGACUGAGUGAUAGAGACGUCUAUGCCACAGCUAUAGGGAAAAAAUUGAGGAAAGUCGAUGAAAAAAAAAGGGAAAAACAAAGAUUGAGUUUAAAUCUUACAAACAAACUGAGAAAUUCAUACAGAACUUUUGAUUUUAAGAAAAUUAAAGCAGAAAGAAGCAUGAAAUUUUAG